GGGGAUAUAGCUCAGCGGUAGAACAUUCGACUUUGCACUUCGAUGGUCCUCGGUUCAAAUCCGAGUGUCUCCU
rfam:Trichomalopsis sarcophagae strain Alberta scaffold28, whole genome shotgun sequence.